CCUACGGGUGGCAGCAGUGAGGAAUAUUGGUCAAUGGGCGUAAGUCUGAACCAGCCAAGCCGCGUGCGGGAUGAAGGUUCUAUGGAUCGUAAACCUCUUUUGUAAGGGAAUAAAGUCCGGGACGUGUCCCGUUUUGAAUGUACCUUAUGAAUAAGGAUCGGCUAACUCCGUGCCAGCAGCCGCGGUAAUACGGAGGAUUCGAGCGUUAUCCGGAUUUAUUGGGUUUAAAGGGUGCGUAGGCGGUCGUAUAAGUCAGCGGUGAAAGCCCGUGGCUCAACCAUAGAAUUGCCGUUGAAACUGGUAGGCUAGAGUAUGGGUGAGGUAGGCGGAAUGCGUGGUGUAGCGGUGAAAUGCUUAGAGAUCACGCAGAACCCCGAUUGCGAAGGCAGCCUGCCAAGCCACGUCUGACGCUGAGGCACGAAAGCGUGGGGAUCAAACAGGAUUAGAUACCCUUGUAGUC
rnacentral:rRNA from 1 species